rnacentral:rRNA from 1 species
CCAGACUCCUACGGGAGGCAGCAGUGGGGAAUAUUGCACAAUGGGGGGAACCCUGAUGCAGCGACGCCGCGUGAGUGAAGAAGUAUUUCGGUAUGUAAAGCUCUGUCAGCAGGGAAGAAGAAAGACGGUACCUGACCAAGAAGCCCCGGCUAACUAUGUGCCAGCAGCCGCGGUAAUACGUAGGGGGCAAGCGUUAUCCGGAUUUACUGGGUGUAAAGGGGGCGCAGACGGCGAUGCAAGCCAGGAGUGAAAGCCCGGGGCCCAACCCCGGGACUGCUCUUGGAACUGCGUGGCUGGAGUGCAGGAGGGGCAGGCGGAAUUCCUGGUGUAGCGGUGAAAUGCGUAGAUAUCAGGAGGAACACCGGUGGCGAAGGCGGCCUGCUGGACUGCAACUGACGUUGAGGCCCGAAAGCGUGGGGAGCAAACAGGAUUAGAUAUCCGGGUA